CGGGGUGGCUGGAACGCAGCGGCGACAGGUCCUUCUAAGGAGGAAGUAAGAGGUUGCACUGCGCGGAACUGUACCACCUAGGCUUGGCAGCUGGCAAAUCACAGGCAGGGCCUGGAAAAGAUACUGCUGCUAAGUAGGCACAAACCUCAGAGGCAGUUUAGCAAAGACAGUGGGAGGUCUGGAGUUCUGUCCCAGAAGACCUGCGUUGUGUCCUACCCCGCCUCUUGCUAGUUAUGUGACCUUAGGGAAGGUACUUCACAGUUUUCUGCUCUGAAAACCGGGCAGAUGGUGAAUAGGAAAGUCAAAGAUUGAAAUUUAAAGAAUAACUUGCUCCAAGUCAUUACUGCUGCUAGGAACACCAAACAGUGCUCCUGCACUAUAAGAGCUGAAACAGUGUCUCCUUAUUUGAGCUCCAUUGGGAACGUGCAUAUUGGACACGUACAGCACUGGUUUAUCUGAGUCUUUGCAACACAGCACCUAACUGUGGGUGUGAAGCCGUGUGUGGCCACGGAGAAGAAACAGUCAAGUCCAGAGUUUGGCAACAGGAAAGCGUCAAGAGUGGGAGGAAGGCAAGGAUAACCCCACAAGGAUGUAUGUCACGUGAAGACAUGCAAGGUCAAGACCAACAUUUGCUGGGAUCUGGGUGACAUAAGGGACACUGGCAACACCAGCUGUGCCUAAGACCCCAUGUUUAUAGAAUGUCUGGAAUAAGUAAUUGACAUUUGUGUGCUGGUCCUCAGGAUCAUGAAAUGAUCAUGAAAUGGGCUUGUCCUCAGGCACAGACAUAGCCAGUGGUCAAGGUGAGAUUUCUCCAAAUCUGGAAAUAGGUAUCCUAAGUCCUGUUCCCUGGUCUUAACAGACUUGGCUAAGAAGUUUCUCAAUGUUUGCUUAAGAGUUUAAGUCCUAGUAGAGGAAGUGACCUGGCUCCUUAAUGACAAUCCCAUGUAUACCUAGAGAUGAAAGGAUUUUGUUUUCCAAUGAAUUACUCUUGGGGGUGGGUGUGUCACACGUGGCUGCUGUUAGGGAGACCUUCCCAGGCUAUGUCUUUGUGAUGCAGCUGUCCUGGAUAUCCAUCUCCAACCCUGAGUUCUGAGUCCAACCAUCUGGAAGAGUUUCGGGGGCCAGGCCCUGCUGCCCCUUGUCUGCCUUUCAUGUCACCUGGAAUCUGCUGAGUGAGGUCUACUAUGAGGGCUUAAAACUAGUCUUCCAUAGUUUAUGAGCCCAAAUCCAUCUGCAAGGGGACAGACCCCGGCUGACCAGCAGAUUAAACAAAUGUCCCCCUCUGUGGCGUUCCUAUGGUGAGAACUGAGUUCCCCAUGCAUGACGUCAGCGAGAGCCAGGGCAGGCCCUUCUCCCACACGUGGCUCAGAAAUCAUUUACAAAGCAAACAGAGAAGACAGCCCUGGGUAGGUGACUUUCCCUUUUGCUCUGGGCCAGCCCUGCGCUCCCAGGCCACUCCUAGAGGGCUUGUCUGAUCCGAGAGUGCAAUUAAAACCAGCUGUCCAGCCAGUGCCUGUAAAAUAUAUACUGGCAAUGGGGGAGAUCCUUGGAGAUUCUUUUACCUGGUAGAAAUAUGGAGACAAUUCCCAAAUCUGACUCUACUGAGAGCCUUCCAGACCUCCAGUUCCAUCUCUCUUCGGAAAAAAAAAUAAAUCCCAAAAUAACUUCCGGGGAAUCUGGGAGCAUAUGGUUCCACCACCCCAUUCUCUAGAAAGAAAUAUGAAAAAGAUUAGAGAGACUGUCAAAACCUCAGACUGGGCCUUGCACGGCUGGAAACGUAGCUCUUGUCUCCUGGCUUGCCCCAUCCUCCCCAUCGGGGUGAACCAAGUGACCUUGGGCUGGACGGGCAAAGUGGCGACCGUGAUUUGGAUGCCACAUUUACCCAAUUUCUAUUUAGCAAACAAAUCGAAUGUACUGCUGCUUGUGUUUGGGAUAAAUAUCUGAUUAGAUUCUCUUAACAUAGGAUGACUACUGCCCAUAAAGAAAAGAAUUUCAGCUGGGCGAUGUCCGGCCAGGGCACGAAGAUUGGGUUUCCUCUUUAUUUGUUGUCAGCAGGCAUGCCUGAUCUUUCCUACCUUGCAAGCUCAUUAAGCAUAUGCUUGAAUGUGGGGCUACUGACAACGCAGCUGUAUUUCAUUUGUAGAUAAUUGAUGCAAUAAAUGUAAUAACCAAAAGAGAUAUGUUGACUCAUGAGCUAAUUUGGGUGUAGAUGUUACAGCACUUCUGCAGCUGGAAACGUUUCCAUCACACAAAUCUGUUUCAGAUAAAUGCAUCUCAUUCCUGUCCUUACUAAGACAGAGGGGGAAAAAAAAUCAAACCAUCCUGUAUAUCUAAAAAUACAUGUUCAUAAGUUAUGGUCAGUCCAAACACUGCUUGAAAAAAUACUAAUGUCAGCAAAUCACUGCACAAACAAGUGGCUUUAACCCCUUCCACACUGGGAGUGCCAAAACGAGGUGCUCAAGCCAAGUUUUUUAGGC